GAUCAUGGCUCAGGAUGAACGCUAGCGAUAGGCCUAACACAUGCAAGUCGAGGGGCAGCACAUGAGUAGCAAUACGAUGGUGGCGACCGGCGCACGGGUGAGUAACACGUAUGCAACCUACCUUUAACAGGGGAAUAACCCGUUGAAAAACGGACUAAUACUCCAUAACACAGGGGUCCCGCAUGGGAAUAUUUGUUAAAGAUUAAUCGGUUGAAGAUGGGCAUGCGUUCCAUUAGCUUGUUGGUGAGGUAACGGCUCACCAAGGCCACGAUGGAUAGGGGAACUGAGAGGUUUAUCCCCCACACUGGAACUGAGACACGGUCCAGACUCCUACGGGAGGCAGCAGUGAGGAAUAUUGGUCAAUGGAGGCAACUCUGAACCAGCCAAGUCGCGUGAAAGGAUGAAGGUCUUAUGGAUUGUAAACUUCUUUUGCAAGGGAAUAAAGUGGGGGACGUGUCCUCCUUUGCAUGUACCUUGCGAAUAAGGAUCGGCUAACUCCGUGCCAGCAGCCGC
rnacentral:rRNA from 1 species